rnacentral:rRNA from 1 species
GACGAACGCUGGCGGCGUGCUUAACACAUGCAAGUCGAACGGAAAGGCCCUGCUUUUGUGGGGUGCUCGAGUGGCGAACGGGUGAGUAACACGUGAGUAACCUGCCCUUGACUUUGGGAUAACUUCAGGAAACUGGGGCUAAUACCGGAUAGGAGCUCCUGCUGCAUGGUGGGGGUUGGAAAGUUUCGGCGGUUGGGGAUGGACUCACGGCUUAUCAGCUUGUUGGUGGGGUAGUGGCUUACCAAGGCUUUGACGGGUAGCCGGCCUGAGAGGGUGACCGGCCACAUUGGGACUGAGAUACGGCCCAGACUCCUACGGGAGGCAGCAGUGGGGAAUAUUGCACAAUGGGCGGAAGCCUGAUGCAGCAACGCCGCGUGCGGGAUGACGGCCUUCGGGUUGUAAACCGCUUUCGCCUGCGACGAAGCGUGAGUGACGGUAAUGGGUAAAGAAGCACCGGCUAACUACGUG